GGCCUGAUGGUCUAGUAGUAUGAUUCCUUGUUAGGGUUCUAUCAUCUCGAGGAGGUCCCGGGUUCAAUUCCCGGUCAGGCCC